AUGAACGCUAGCGGCAGGCCUAAUACAUGCAAGUCGGACGGGAUUGGAGAGCUUGCUUUCCAUGAGAGUGGCGCACGGGUGCGUAACACGUAUGUAACCUACCUUCGUCAGGGGGAUAGCCUCUCGAAAGAGAGAUUAAGACCGCAUAACAUUGAGAUGUGGCAUCACAAAACAAUCAAAUAUUUAUAGGACGAAGAUGGGCAUGCGGAACAUUAGCUAGUUGGUGAGGGUAACGGCUCACCAAGGCGACGAUGUUUAGGGGAUCUGAGAGGAUGACCCCCCACACUGGUACUGAGACACGGACCAGACUCCUACGGGAGGCAGCAGUAAGGAAUAUUGGUCAAUGGGCGGAAGCCUGAACCAGCCAUGCCGCGUGCAGGAAGACGGCCCUACGGGUUGUAAACUGCUUUUACAGGGGAAUAAACCUCCGUUCGUGAACGGAGCUGAAUGUACUCUGAGAAUAAGGAUCGGCUAACUCCGUGCCAGCAGCCGCGGUAAUACGGAGGAUCCGAGCGUUAUCCGGAUUUAUUGGGUUUAAAGGGUGCGUAGGUGGCCUGUUAAGUCAGGGGUGAAAGACGGUAGCUCAACUAUCGCAGUGCCCUUGAUACUGAUGGGCUUGAAUGAACUAGAGGUAGGCGGAAUGUGACAAGUAGCGGUGAAAUGCAUAGAUAUGUCACAGAACACCAAUUGCGAAGGCAGCUUACUAUGGUUUUAUUGACACUGAGGCACGAAAGCGUGGGGAUCAAACAGGAUUAGAUACCCUGGUAGUCCACGCCCUAAACGAUGAAUACUCGAUGUUGGCGAUAUACGGUCAGCGUCUAAGCGAAAGCGUUAAGUAUUCCACCUGGGGAGUACGCCCGCAAGGGUGAAACUCAAAGGAAUUGACGGGGGCCCGCACAAGCGGAGGAGCAUGUGGUUUAAUUCGAUGAUACGCGAGGAACCUUACCCGGGCUUGAAAGUUAGUGAAUGUGGCAGAGACGCCACAGUCCUUCGGGACACGAAACUAGGUGCUGCAUGGCUGUCGUCAGCUCGUGCCGUGAGGUGUUGGGUUAAGUCCCGCAACGAGCGCAACCCCUAUGUUUAGUUGCCAGCAUGUAGUGGUGGGGACUCUAAACAGACUGCCUAUGCAAAUAGAGAGGAAGGAGGGGACGACGUCAAGUCAUCAUGGCCCUUACGUCCGGGGCUACACACGUGCUACAAUGGAUGGUACAGAGGGCAGCUACCUGGUAACAGGAUGCCAAUCUCCAAAAGCCAUUCACAGUUCGGAUCGGGGUCUGCAACUCGACCCCGUGAAGUUGGAUUCGCUAGUAAUCGCAGAUCAGCAAUGCUGCGGUGAAUACGUUCCCGGGCCUUGUACACACCGCCCGUCAAGCCAUGGAAGCUGGGGGUGCCUGAAGCCGGUAACCGCAAGGAGCCGUCUAGGGUAAAACCGGUAACUGGGGCU
rnacentral:rRNA from 1 species